rnacentral:rRNA from 1 species
CCCGGUGACCAUAGCGGCGGGGUCACACCCGUUCCCAUUCCGAACACGGUCGUUAAGCCCGUCUGCGCCGAUGGUAGUGCCGAGAGGUGCGAGAGUAGGACGUUGCCGGGG